rnacentral:rRNA from 1 species
UGAUGUGGGGGAUAACCAUUGGAAACGAUGGCUAAUACCGCAUGAUGCCUACGGGCCAAAGAGGGGGACCUUCGGGCCUCUCGCGUCAGGAUAUGCCUAGGUGGGAUUAGCUAGUUGGUGAGGUAAGGGCUCACCAAGGCGACGAUCCCUAGCUGGUCUGAGAGGAUGAUCAGCCACACUGGAACUGAGACACGGUCCAGACUCCUACGGGAGGCAGCAGUGGGGAAUAUUGCACAAUGGGCGCAAGCCUGAUGCAGCCAUGCCGCGUGUGUGAAGAAGGCCUUCGGGUUGUAAAGCACUUUCAGUCGUGAGGAAGGUAGUGUAGUUAAUAGCUGCAUUAUUUGACGUUAGCGACAGAAGAAGCACCGGCUAACUCCGUGCCAGCAGCCGCGGUAAUACGGAGGGUGCGAGCGUUAAUCGGAAUUACUGGGCGUAAAGCGCAUGCAGGUGGUUUGUUAAGUCAGAUGUGAAAGCCCGGGGCUCAACCUCGGAAUUGCAUUUGAAACUGGCAGACUAGAGUACUGUAGAGGGGGGUAGAAUUUCAGGUGUAGCGGUGAAAUGCGUAGAGAUCUGAAGGAAUACCGGUGGCGAAGGCGGCCCCCUGGACAGAUACUGACACUCAGAUGCGAAAGCGUGGGGAGCAAACAGGAUUAGAUACCCUGGUAGUCCACGCCGUAAACGAUGUCUACUUGGAGGUUGUGGCCUUGAGCCGUGGCUUUCGGAGCUAACGCGUUAAGUAGACCGCCUGGGGAGUACGGUCGCAAGAUUAAAACUCAAAUGAAUUGACGGGGGGCCCGCACAAGCGGUGGAGCAUGUGGUUUAAUUCGAUGCAACGCGAAGAACCUUACCUACUCUUGACAUCCAGAGAACUUUCCAGAGAUGGAUUGGUGCCUUCGGGAACUCUGAGACAGGUGCUGCAUGGCUGUCGUCAGCUCGUGUUGUGAAAUGUUGGGUUAAGUCCCGCAACGAGCGCAACCCUUAUCCUUGUUUGCCAGCGAGUAAUGUCGGGAACUCCAGGGAGACUGCCGGUGAUAAACCGGAGGAAGGUGGGGACGACGUCAAGUCAUCAUGGCCCUUACGAGUAGGGCUACACACGUGCUACAAUGGCGCAUACAGAGGGCAGCCAACUUGCGAAAGUGAGCGAAUCCCAAAAAGUGCGUCGUAGUCCGGAUUGGAGUCUGCAACUCGACUCCAUGAAGUCGGAAUCGCUAGUAAUCGUGGAUCAGAAUGCCACGGUGAAUACGUUCCCGGGCCUUGUACACACCGCCCGUCACACCAUGGGAGUGGGCUGCAAAAGAAGUAGGUAGUUUA